GGACCAGGACAGGCUGCUGCGGGCCAGGGGCAAACACGUCAGGCCUGGCCCCCAGUCCGCUGCUGCCCCUCCCUUUCACCUUCCAUCCAGCACUAAGGGAGUCUGGCCACGGCCUAAUAUAGGAGGGCUUGUGGAAGGAGACACCCACCCCCUCUUUCUGCACCUCUCCCCUCUUCCAUGCCACCCCCAGGCCAGGAGCCACCACAGCCCUGUCUGUGACUCUCAGCUCCCGAGGCUGGGCUCUUCCCCAGGGAAGCUGCAUGACCAUGGCCACAUACAGGAGGUAGGAGACAGAGGCCUCCACGGUGGACGAUCGUGGCGUGAAGUCCACGUUGACCACGUUGUCGGUGCUGGGGGAGCGGAUGAAGGCCAGGGACCCGCGGCGCUCUCCCUGUGGUCAGGAAGCAGCCCGGAGACCCUAAAACUCCAUUGGCCUCAUGUCCAGAACUGAAUCAGGUUCAGCUCGUGGAAGACAUUCAGGAUCCGGUCUCGAGACUUCUGGGCCGACCGUCUCAUGAGGACCCUGCUGAGGAACUUCCUGUCGAAGUGGGACCACCUGUAGGGACAGACCUUGGGUGUGAGCCUCAGGUGACAGGC
rnacentral:lncRNA from 1 species